rnacentral:rRNA from 1 species
GAGCGUUGUCCGGAAUCAUUGGGCGUAAAGAGCGUGUAGGCGGCCACUUAAGUCCUGCGUGAAAUCUUGCGGCUCAACCGCAAGCGGUCGUGGGAAACUGGGUGGCUAGAGUGCGGGAGAGGAGAGUGGAAUUCCUGGUGUAGCGGUGGAAUGCGCAGAUAUCAGGAAGAACACCCGUGGCGAAGGCGGCUCUCUGGAACGCAACUGACGCUGAGACGCGAAAGCGUGGGGAGCAAACAGG